UUCGGAAUCACUGGGCUUAAAGGGUGCGUAGGCGGGUUGGUAGGUCAGAUGUGAAAGCCCACGGCUCAACCGUGGAAUUGCGUUUGAAACCACUAGUCUUGAGGGGAUCAGAGGAGAGCGGAACUGAUGGUGGAGCGGUGAAAUGCGUUGAUAUUAUCAGGAACACCGGUGGCGAAAGCGGCUCUCUGGGAUCCUUCUGACGCUGAGGCACGAAAGCUAGGGGAGCGAACGGGAUUAGAUACCCCGGUAGUCCUAGCUGUAAACGAUCUGUACUAGUCCGUGGGGACUCCCACAUCUUCUCGGACGUAGCGAAAGUGUUAAGUACAGCGCCUGGGGAGUAUGGUCGCAAGGCUGAAACUCAAAGGAAUUGACGGGGGCUCACACAAGCGGUGGAGGAUGUGGCUUAAUUCGAGGCUACGCGAAGAACCUUACCUAGACUUAACAUGUUUGAGAAUCUCUGUGAAAGCAGAGAGUGCCUUUCGGGGAACUCUUACGUAGGUGCUGCAUGGCU
rnacentral:rRNA from 2 species